rnacentral:sRNA from 1 species
UCCAGGAUUUCGCCAUACUCUUACACCUU